AUCAGGGAGCACCCAGCCCAAAAAAGAGUGAACCGGCAGCCGCAUCCCGCGCGCGGCCGGUGAAU
rfam:Raoultella ornithinolytica strain S12, complete genome.